rnacentral:rRNA from 1 species
UACAGAGGGUGCAAGCGUUAAUCGGAAUUACUGGGCGUAAAGCGUGCGUAGACGGUUAUGUAAGUCAGAUGUGAAAGCCCCGGGCUCAACCUGGGAAUUGCAUUUGAGACUGCAUAGCUAGGGUGCGGAAGAGGGAAGCGGAAGUUUCCGGUGUGAGCGGUGAAAUGCGUAGAUAUCGGAAGGAACACCAGUGGCGAAAAGCGGCUUCCUCGGUCCAGCACCGACGUCAGGCACGAAAGCGUGGGGAGCAAACAGG